rnacentral:lncRNA from 1 species
ACGGAUAGUGCCUCAGGUUCCCCAUUAACGAUCUUUCGUGCGUGAAGGGAAAGUUGAAACAGAUGUAGCGCGAAUACUCUCGAAGGCCGAUCGAUCGUAGGAAGAGGCGCACGCUUUCUUCUGCUUCCAGGUUGCCUUCUUUUGCCCAUUGUAUUUGCUUCAUUCUGACGUUCCGAUAGAUUUUUCUCACACUAAGUUCGCCGAAAUGUAGGUAUGGUGACAGCAGUGAAGUUGUGGCUCCCUCCACCUUCAUCCUAUUUCUCGAAUAUCGCGGUAAGUGACCUUCUACGAAUUCGCUUAGUGCUUUGUCUGCAUUGCUCCAUCCUGGAGACCAUCCCCUACUUAACAGCG